rnacentral:tRNA from 1 species
UCCCCAGUGGCGCAAUUGGUUAGCGCACGGUACUUAUAAGACAGUGAUUUCGUGAGCAAUGCCGGGGUUGUGAGUUCGAGCCUCACCUGGGGAA